CAAGAGCGUAUGUAAAAGUUGUUGCAGUUAAAAAGCUCGUAGUUGAACCUUGGGUUUGGUUGGCCGGUCCGCUUUUUUGCGAGUACUGGAUUCAACCGAGCCUUUCCUUCUGGCUAACCAGUCGUUUCGGCGGCUGGCGAACCAGGAUUUUUCCUUUGAGAAAAUUAGAGUGUUCAAAGCAGGCAUUAGCUUGAAUAUAUUAGCAUGGAAUAAUAGAAUAGGACGUUAUGGUUCUAUUUUGUUGGUUUCUAGGACCAUCGUAAUGAUUAAUAGGGACGGUCGGGGGCAUCAGUAUUCAGUUGUCAGAGGUGAAAUUCUUGGAUUUACUGAAGACUAACUACUGCGAAAGCAUUUGCCAAGGACGUUUUCAUUAA
rnacentral:rRNA from 1 species